rnacentral:lncRNA from 1 species
AAACAAUAUUUGGGAUAUGUAUAAUAUGUUUACACGAUCGAUUGUAUCGAGUGCAGAUGAGUAGGAACUUGAUGGUUGGUGCAACAACCCUAUCCGCUAGGAACAAUAACUCGUUGGACCCAACCACUGGCCCGAAAGUUAUUAUUACUAGCGUGUAGGCCUUAUGUAAACUGAUUGGAAUAAAUUCCCCCUGUUUAGAUUCUCUCGGGUCCAAACCAAAUCACAGACAGAUCAUGACCAUUACCAGGCGUUGUGAGAUUUUAGAGGUGGCUCCCACCAAAUCUGUGGCUCCCACCAAAUUCAUUAGUGUAGCACUUUGUCCCGCAUAGCACUUAGCCGGCAGAUAUUCGGCUUUGAUACCAAUUGCAACGACCCCUAGCAACAAUAACUCAUUGGGCACAACCACCGGCCCAAAAUGCUUAACCCCAGUUAUUGUUACUAGCGUGUAGGCCUCAUAUAAACUGAUCGGAAUCAGUAUCCCAUUCGAUGUGAGACUAUUGGGGCGUUACAGUUGGUAUCUGAGAUUCCAAAUUUAAAAUCUAACUACUUUACAUUUCUUGCUUAUUAUAUUUUUAAAAGAAAACAAAGCGGAUAUAAUGCUAACUUUCUCUCUCUUUAUUUUUCUCUCCCUCAAUUUAAAAAGUAAUAAUAUUUAAUAUACUCUUCAAAAUUUUAAAGUUAUCUUAUUUAUUUCCGAUGACCUAAAAUACUCUCAUUGAUUUAAAAUUUUUUCUCAAAUACCCCUCUUUCCUUUAGGGCUUACUAAUGCGAUUUAGUUUUUAGAAGGAUAUUUCAAAAAAAAAUUAUAUGGUUUUAUACGUAAUGUCUAAAAACUCAAUUAACUUGGUAGAGAAUUAAAUCUAAACUAGAGAUUUCGCAGGAUUUGAACUCAGAACCUCAUAUUUUAAUACGAUGUGAAAUUAUAUGAAACAACUAUUUAGAAAAGAACAAUGCUUCGAAUAUUUAUAUUCAACGAUAAAAAUGUCACAUCG